ensembl:lncRNA novel transcript
AGUGGCUGUGCCUGUGGCCUUUGACGCUCAUCCUGACUCCUGACUGAUGAAUUAUUUGGUCGACUGAGGCAGAAUCACCUUUACUGGAGCAUAAUCUGUUGGAGGCAGCAUCUCCUGAAGUCUCCAUGAGUUGCUGGAAUGAAGAUGCAAGAGGAAAUUUGGAGAUGUUGCUUGAAAGUUUAAAGUAUUGGUGUUACCGAACCAUUAGAAUAUUACAUAUGGACAACGCCCAUCCAUUAGAAUAUUACGUAUGGACAACAUGGUGGAACAUUUCGAAUAAGGUUGAUUCUUCUAUGUCUUGGUUGGAAUAAAAGGAAGAUAUGUGCAUUACUAGAAGCAACGUACAACGAGAGAGCAAAGGAAAGUAGCUCAGACCCAAGGAAGAUCAAAUUAAG